ACUAAAGCUGAAAUUAAACUUAAAAGCUACCUAAUUAACCCCUUUACUGCCGGGAAUAAUAGAAGUGUGGUGCACAUCUGCAAUUAGCGGCCUUCUAAUUACCAAAAAGCAAUGGUAAAGCCAUAUAUGUCUGCUAUUUCUGAACAAAGGGGAUCCUAGAGAAGCUUCUACAACAUGAUGUGACUUUGUGAUAACAUACAUAAAACGAGGAAAAGCCUACUGACAGUAUGAUGUGACUAAAGUGACUGUCACAUGAAGUACAUCAGGAUUAGCUCCUCCAAAUAAGGAAAAUGGUAGUAAAAUUUGUCCACUGGAAAAUUUUUGCAUAGACCAUUACAUUACAGGCAAAGCGGGCAAAAUAAUGAAAGUAUAAUGCAAAGUUGUUUUAUUAUUUAUAAUUAAAUAAUUCAUGUUAUAAUCACAAAGUGUAUCAUGCCCAUGUAAUAGGGACAGACUAUUGCUGAACAGACUUUAUCUAAUUAUUUUGCAUAUCUAACUUUAUACUCAUUUAUUUGAUGUUGUUUUCUAUUACAGAAACAUGUCAAAGGGUCUAUAAAGACAUUACUGACCAUGAAAUGAGAAGAUGCAUAGGGGAUUGCCAAUCCCACACAAUAAUUGUUUGUGGUCACAGGCCGGUGCCAAAUUCAAGAUCAUAGAACAGAUACAGAUGGACAUCAUAUUAUAUUUUUAUUGUUCUGUCAACAUUAUUGUGCAUCUGCAUUAUACUUGUACCCUAGGCCUAUAAUAUAAGUUAUUCUCUGGUUUAUUACAAUGUCAUAUUUAAAAUGUUUUAAUACCUGGAAAAUUUGAAGCCUAAUAAAAGUUUAAAUUACUUUUGUAAGAGUCAA